AAAAUAUGUUGUUUAUAGCGGACAAAUCAGCAUAUCAAAUGGUCUCGAUUUCAAUUUGAGGUAACUAAAAGUAUACAAUAUGCUUUCUAAAUUUCGAAGUACUUUUUUAAAAAUAUCUGAUUUAGUAAUUUUUUUUGAGCAUGUGUGUUAUCUAUUGAAAUUCAUGGUAUUUUAUAUAAAUCAUGAUCUAUAUGAUAUUAUUGUAUGAUGGUUACAUGUUACGGAAUGGAUUGGUAAAUUAACUGAGUGUACAUGCCAAUAGCUCUAAUAAAGACCGGAACAAUCAAAAGAGCUAGGAGACGUGGGUGAGGCCGGCCACCAAUAAUGUAUUAGAAAAAACCAAGUAUGAGAUCAUGCAUGAUUAAUUACUCAUUGAGCUCUUCUACAUUUGUCGUUGAGCCAUUAUUGAAUAGAUGAGCCACCACAUAGUGUCCUUAAUGCUUAUAUAUAUAAGGAGAGAGAGAGGACAGAGAAAUUGAGAGAUAUUAGUUGAGAGAGAGACACGGAUAGAGAGGGAGAAAUAAAGAAAGAUUUAGGAGAUAAGAGAAAUUAUACGGUACGGUCAGUUAUAAUCUUGAGAGCUAGGAUGUGAAAUCAACAGUGAGAUGAUAUCCGAUCUAGAUGAAAAUACAGUAUGGUUGUUUAUGGCUUACAGAUCAGCAUACCUAAUGAUCCCGAUUCUGAUUUGAGGUAAGCAAGAGGUAUACAAUAUGCUUUCUAACUCUGAAGUACUUUCUUAAAAUAUCUAAUUUUGUAUUCCUCUUGUGCAUGUGUGCUAUUUAUUAAAAUUCAGGUAUUUUUAUUGAAAUCAUGGUAUAUAUGAUUUUCUUGUAUGAUAACUAAAAUACUAUGAUAUUGAUUGGUACAUUGAUUGAGUGGACCCGCCAAUAGCUUGACCAACAGUCUAAAAAAAGUCAAAUAACUAGGUGAGGUGGUGAGGCCAGACAUCAAUGAUGUACUAGGAAAAACAAAGUAUCUUCAUAAUUGAUGAUUCAUUGAGCUCUUUUAUAUUUGUCGUUGAGUCAUUAUUGAAUUGAACGUAUUUUCGUUGUAUUGUAUAUUUUUCUGCUUAAAAUAAUUUUUCAUGUGUAAGUGGGAAUCGAGUAGUACGAGAUAAGUUGAAUAACAGAUUUGAAAACUUUUAAUAACUUUGUAUUAAAUUUGUUAGGAGACAUUGUACAAAUAAACAUUUGAAGACUAAUGUAAAUUUGAGAAAAAUAGUACUCUGAUUUAUAUAUAAAGGAACACGAUUAUUAACGGCCCAUUGUGAUAGAAAGAAAAAUGAGAUAUGUCGUUACAUCAAGGUUUCUCGAAGGCCACCUGAGCAAGACUUUCUGCUAGGGACCCUGAAUACUCGUUACAAUAAUAUCUCAUCAUAUCAAACCAUUUUAUUUAGUUAAAAUCUAGAGUUAGGUGAUUGGUAUCAGAGAUUAGGCUUUAGAUCUUACAUACGACCGAUGUGAGAGGUUUAGGUGAUAGAUAUUACAUGAGAAUGUGUGGGAGGUAUAAAUUUGUAGUUAUAUGUUUCAUAAAUUUAAAAUUAGACUCCCCAAAAUAUAAUUUUUGAUCAUUUUGGACCGGUCGGACUUUUUUUGAACGGGUUCAGAUGAAAAAAAAUUAAAAAAAUAAAAAGGUUCUGAUCAAUGCUCCGAUCGGUCGAACUUUGUCUGAACCAAUCGAGAAAAAAAAUAUAUUUUGGGGCCAGAGUAUAUUUUUUUAGCAUCAGAUUAUGUAGUAGAAGCGUGUAUUUUCUUUUAAAAACUUUUGUUAUUGAUAUAAAAUAAGACAUUUCAAAUUUUAAGGACGAAAUUUUUAUAAGGUAGGGAUAAUGUAAUACCCCUUUCUUUAAUAAUUUUUACCUUAGUAUAGUAAAAAAAUAUAUAUAUAUAAAUGCACUGAUAAAAUUUUAGUAAUUUAUCAGCAUUUUAAAUACAGAAUUUUAUCCAAAUUUUUUUAAUAAUAAAACUAAACAAAAAAUUGGACACAUGUCCUAUUUUGGAACACUUGUCAAACCAUGUGUUAUUGAUUUGACCAGGGGCCACCUCAUGAGAGUGACCCACCCAUGGCCGCCUACUUAUUUUGUCUUCUUUGAAGACAUAAAAAGAUCUAUAAAUGAGAGAGAAAGUAGAAUAAAGAAAGAAAGAAAAAGAGAGCACGGAUGGAGAGAGAAAAGAAAGAAAAUGAAAAAUAAGAGCCUAGAGAGAUUAUGUGGUAUGAUCAAAUAUGAUCAUGAGAGAUAAGGCAUAGAAUCAAUGGUGAGGACGCUAUCCGAGAUCGAGGUUUGAAAAUAAAUAUGUGUUUAUGGCAGACAAAAGGCAUAUCAAAUGGCUCGAUUUCAAUUUGAGAGUAAGUGCGUAAGUAAAAGUAUACAUUGCUUUCAAAUUUCGGAGUAUUUUUACAAUAUCUAAUUCUUGUAAAUUUUUGUGAGCAUGUGUGUUAUCUAUGAAAUUCAUGUUAUUUUAUAUUAAAUCAUGAUCUAUCUGAUAUAUGUAUGAUUGGUUACAUGCUAUGAAUGGAUUGGUAAAAUUAAUGGUGGCCACGCCAUAGUCUAAUAAAGGACCGGGCAUAAUCAAAAGAGCUAGAGACGGUGGGUGUGAGGCCGGCCACCAAUAAAGUUCUUAGAACAAACCAAGUAUAAAUCAUUAUGAUAAUUAUCAUUGCGCUCUUCUACAUUUGUGUUGAGGAACACUUAUUGAAUAGAUGAGCACCAUCUGGUUCCUUUAUGCUUCAUCCUAUAGGCGAGAGAGGGGGGACAGAGAAAUUGAGAGAUAUAGUUGCGAGAGAGACACGGAUCGCAAGGAGAAAUAAGAGAAAGAUUUGGGGAGACCAGAGAAAUGAUACGGAUACGGUCAGUUUAAUCUGAGAGCAGGAUGUGAAAAUCAACAGUGAGAUGAUAUACGAUCGAAAUGGUAAAAUAAGUAUGGUUGUUUAUGGCUUACAGAUCAGCAUAAUUAAUGAUCCUGAUUUGAUGGAGGGGAAGCAAGAGGUAUACAAUCAGGCUUUCAACUCUGAAGUACUUUCUUUGAACCAUCCAAUUUUGUAUCAUCUUGAGCAUUGGGUUAUUUAUUGGAAAUUCAUUAUAUUUUUAUUGAAAUCAUGAUAUAUAUAUUUUCUGUCAUGUAUGAUAAUAAAAUACUAUGGUAUGAUGGUACAUGUUGAGGGGACCGCCAAAUAGCUUGACUAACAGUCUGAAAAAAGUCAAAUCAUAAGUGAGGUGAGUGAGACCGACUCAGUGAUUGUACUAGGAAAACAAAAGUAUCUUCUCAAUGAGUGAGUCAUUGAGUUUUUUUAUAUUGUCCGUUGAGUCAUUAUUGAAUUAACAUAUUUUCGUUGUAUUAACCGUGUAUAUUUUCUGAUUACUUAAUGAUUUUUUCAAGUGUAGUAAGUGGGAAUCUAGUGAGUUACGAGAUGAGUUGAAUAACAGAUUGGAAGACUUUCAUAAUUUUGUAUUAAAUGUAGAGGACAUUGUACAAAUAAACAUUUGAAAGGAGACUAAUGUUUACUUUUAAAAAAAUAGCGCUCUGAUUUAUAUAUAAAGGAACACAAUUAUUAACGGCCCAUUGUGAUAGAAAGAAAAAUGAGAUAUGUCGUUACAUCAAGGUUCGAAAGCUACCUGAGCAAGACUUUCUGCUAGGGACCCUGAAUACUCGUUACAACAAUAUCUCAUCAUAUCAAAUUAUUUUAUUUAGUUAAAAUCUAAAGUUAAGUGAUUGCAACCCACAACACCACCCCGGAUGAAAACCCAUGUUAAACUAAUAUGUUAACUAAUAAAAAGCUAACAUAGUAACAUCAAUAUUCAAGACUUACGGAACAUACAUCAAUAUUAACAUUUCAAUGGCAUCAAUGUAAUAUCUUGGACCUGUUUAAAUACUUUAAUCUCUUUAAUUACGUGAUUAGUGACUAAUAAAUAUAAAUAUAAAUAUAUGCCUAAUGAUGAUUUGAUAUUAGCUAUUUCAGUCUGGGACCUAUUUGGUUCAAGUGUAAUAUAUGAUAAAGUAGGAGGUAAAUUUUUUAAUUAUUCUUUACUGGCGAAUUCUAAGAGUUCUAGAUUUUUUCUAGCGACGCAAAUUACAUUGUUGCGAAGCGAUUCGAAUCGUUAGAAUUUUUCAGCACCGAAUUUUAGAUCAAAUGUGAGAACCAUUUUCUACCGAAAAUCCGGAAUUUAUAAUUUAUAGAGUUGCUUCAAACUUUGUCUUCCUAAAAUAUCAGCUAAAAUUUGCUAAGAGAGAACCAAAAGAGUGGGCCACAUGCUAUCAUGGGCUCAAGUAUCUUAGCCACCUCAUGUGGAUGCAGAGUUACAACUUUGCUGUGUCAUUAGUAGUACAUAGCUCCUUGUUCAGUAGGAUAAGUACUCAUUCAGUCCUUGUGAGAACCAAUUCUAAGAAUGAAACUUAUUGUUAAAAACAGAUUUACAAAAUCCAUACGUAGGAAGAAUAUCCCACCAAAACAAAGCCAAGAAAAUAAAGAAGUGAAAAACAAAAAGCCAAAAAACACAGAGAGGUCUGGUGUUUCUUUUUCCUCUCUCAUUAACUUAAACUAGUAUACACCCGUGCCUGCAUUGUGUAAAAUCGACACCUUAUAUUCUGAUCAUCUCUCUGGAAGUUAAGGUGGUACUGAUUCCGUAAGCAAAGACGAAGCAGAAGAUAGGGCCAACCAAAGUGGGCAAAAAACACCGGUAACGAGAAGUCAUAUUCGAACCAGCUUCUUUAAGGAAAAUUUCACCGUGUGGGCGUACUGGUUUCCACCGUAAGUAUAUGGAAUUCGUCUUUGUCGGCCACUUGAGAGCAAAAGGCCAUGAUUGUCCAAGCAAAUGGAAGCCCAAGUAGUACCCACCUCCACCUAUCGGAUCAUCUGCCAUGGGUUGGAGCAUAAAGGUUCAUAAUUUUGAUCAGCGGAAUUAUGGAAUGUGGAGAGAGAGAGAAAAAUUAUAAAGGUGGUUUUUGGAAACGAAAAAUUAUUGCUUUAAAAGUUUCUGAAAUUUCACGUAUGGCAAUGAUUCUGUAGAAAGAAAAUCCUAUUUAAGGUAAUUAGUAGAUAAUACCGGCUGGGAAUGAGGAAAACCGGAGGAGAACAAGUCCAGAAGUUGAGGAAGAAGGACAUGAUAAUGGCGGCAAAUUGAUGGCCAGGAGUCCAAGCGACAACAUCAUCCGUACAUCGAGGAGUAGGUGAGGCAAUGAAUAUGAAGUAGUAGAAAAUAAAAGAAUUGACCGUUGUCCAUUCAUACCCA
rnacentral:lncRNA from 1 species